GACGAACGCUGGCGGCGUGCUUAACACAUGCAAGUCGAACGGUGAAGCGCCUUCCUUUUUGGUGGGUGUGGAUGAGUGGCGAACGGGUGAGUAACACGUGAGUAACCUGCCCCCUUCUUCUGGAUAACCGCAUGAAAGUGUGGCUAAUACGGGAUAUUCUGGGUCUGUCGCAUGAUGGGUCUGGGAAAGAUAUUGUUUCGGUGGGGGAUGGGCUCGCGGCCUAUCAGCUUGUUGGUGGGGUGAUGGCCUACCAAGGCGGUGACGGGUAGCCGGCCUGAGAGGGUGGCCGGUCACACUGUGACUGAGACACGGCCCAGACUCCUACGGGAGGCAGCAGUGGGGAAUAUUGCACAAUGGGCGCAAGCCUGAUGCAGCGACGCCGCGUGAGGGAUGGAGGCCUUCGGGUUGUGAACCUCUUUCGCCAGUGAAGCAGGCCUGCCUCGUUUGUGGGUGGGUUGACGGUAGCUGGAUAAGAAGCGCCGGCUAACUACAUG
rnacentral:rRNA from 1 species